rnacentral:rRNA from 1 species
AGUGAACGCUGGCGGUAGGCCUAACACAUGCAAGUCGAACGGCAGCACAGUAAGAGCUUGCUCUUACGGGUGGCGAGUGGCGGACGGGUGAGGAAUACAUCGGAAUCUACUUUUUCGUGGGGGAUAACGUAGGGAAACUUACGCUAAUACCGCAUACGACCUACGGGUGAAAGCAGUGGAUCUUCGGACCUUGCGCGAUUGAAUGAGCCGAUGUCGGAUUAGCUAGUUGGCGGGGUAAAGGCCCACCAAGGCGACGAUCCGUAGCUGGUCUGAGAGGAUGAUCGGCGACACUGGAGCUUGGACACGGUCCAGACUCCUACGAGAGGCAGCAGUGGGGAAUAUUGGACAAUGGGCGCAAGCCUGAUCCAGCCAUACCGCGUGGGUGAAGAAGGCCUUCGGGUUGUAAAGCCCUUUUGUUGGGAAAGAAAAGCAGCAGGUUAAUACCCCGCUGUUCUGACGGUACCCAAUGAAUAAGCACCGGCUAACUUCGUG